ACGGGGGGUGCGAGCGUUGUCCGGAAUCACUGGGCGUAAAGGGCGCGUAGGUGGCCCGUUAAGUCGCUGGUGAAAUCCCGCUGCUCAACGGCGGGGCUGCCGGCGAGACUGGCGGGCUCGAGCACGGUAGAGGCAGAUGGAAUUCCCGGUGUAGCGGUGGAAUGCGUAGAGAUCGGGAAGAACACCAGUGGCGAAGGCGGUCUGCUGGGCCGUUGCUGACACUGAGGCGCGACAGCGUGGGGAGCAAACAGGA
rnacentral:rRNA from 1 species